GGUGGGUAGGGUCCCGGGGCCGGAAGUGGAGCUCAGCCCACUGGCUGCGCAGGGCUAGUGCUGGGCGCUGUUCCCUUGGGGAACCGCGGUGGGAGCGUUGUCACGCGUGGGCCGUCAGCAUGCAAACCUGAGCCCCUGUCCUCUGCAUGAGAUCCAGGACUCGGGACCACUGUUUUCCAAGAAUCAUCUAUCACCAGCUCACCUGCCUCCAGCUCUCCACCAGAGGAUGAGUCCGACUCCACCAGGAUCGGCUCGAGCCCUGAAACAUCGAGGUUCCUACUGAAGGAGCAGCGCCGGUGUACAGACCCUCGCUCAGAGCCGUGGGCACCGCGCAGACUGGCGAGGACACACACUGACACGCCGGGUGCGGCCAACAGGCGUCCUGUGGGAUUCGGUCUUCACCAUUCUGCUAGGAGCGAAUAUAACCACCCGCCACCGGAGACAGAACUGCAGGGUUUUUCUCUUCCGCGGUGUAAAAUCGAGCGAAUCCACAAGUAGCAGCGUGGAGGGUACCGGGCCUGCGUGGAGGAGGCUCCCGUGGGAGGGCGGGCUCGGUGGGGCGCCGGGGCUGCGCGCGACACCAGGCUUCGGGGGCCAGCGCCC